AGCCGAAGUGGCCCAACGGUAGACGCUGGGGGUUUAAAACCCCCCUGUCCAGCGUCCACUCUGGACAUGCAGGUUCGAAUCCUGCCUCGGCUU
rnacentral:tRNA from 1 species